AUUGAACGCUGGCGGCAGGCCUAACACAUGCAAGUCGAGCGGAUGACGGGAGCUUGCUCCUUGAUUCAGCGGCGGACAGGUGAGUAAUGCCUAGGAAUCUGCCUGGUAGUGGGGGACAACGUUUCGAAAGGAACGCUAAUACCGCAUACGUCCUACGGGAGAAAGCAGGGGACCUUCGGGCCUUGCGCUAUCAGAUGAGCCUAGGUCGGAUUAGCUAGUAGGUGAGGUAAUGGCUGACCUAGGCGACGAUCCGUAACUGGUCGGAGAGGAUGAUCAGUCACACUGGAACUGAGACACGGUCCAGACUCCUACGGGAAGCAGCAGUGGGGAAUAUUGGACAAUGGGCGAAAGCCUGAUCCAGCCAUGCCGCGUGUGUGAAGAAGGUCUUCGGAUUGUAAAGCACUUUAAGUUGGGAGGAAGGGCAGUAAGCUAAUACCUUGCUGUUUUGACGUUACCGACAGAAUAAGCACCGGCUAACUCUGUGCCAGCCGCCGCCGUAAAAC
rnacentral:rRNA from 1 species